rnacentral:rRNA from 1 species
UACAGAGGUCUCAAGCGUUGUUCGGAUUCAUUGGGCGUAAAGGGCGCGUAGGCGGCGGGGUAAGUCUGGUGUGAAAUCUCGGAGCUCAACUCCGAAAUUGCACUGGAUACUGCUCUGCUUGAGGGUUGGAGAGGAGAUCGGAAUUCACGGUGUAGCAGUGAAAUGCGUAGAUAUCGUGAGGAAGACCAGUGGCGAAGGCGGGAUCUCUGGACAAAUCCUGACGCUGAGGCGCGAAGGCUAGGGGAGCAAAACGGG